CGCACCUACGGGACGCAGCAGUGGGGAAUAUUGCACGAUGGGGGAAACCCUGAUGCAGCAACGCCGCGUGAAGGAAGACGGUUUUCGGAUUGUAAACUUCUGUUCUUAGUGAAGAAGAAUGACGGUAGCUAAGGAGCAAGCCACGGCUAACUACGUGCCAGCAGCCGCGGUAAUACGUAGGUGGCAAGCGUUGUCCGGAAUUACUGGGUGUAAAGGGAGCGCAGGCGGGAAGUCAAGUCAGUUGUGAAAACUACGGGCUUAACUUGUAGACUGCAGUUGAAACUGGU
rnacentral:rRNA from 1 species